UGGCUGUUACUUGUGUCUCUUUCCUGGUGGCUGCAGGUUCAAAUUUAACAGACCCUGCAUAAAAACUGAAAAGAGUCUGCAACCAGGUUCAUUAACUAGCUGAAUACCCUUAAAGGCGUAUGCGUUUAUGCUUGUGAUUCCAUACAGAAACCCCUGAUGAAGUCGUUCUGACGAAACGCGUUGGGUCGAAUCCGUUACGGUCUCUUAUCUAGUUCAUUAAUACACCCUACAGAAUAUACACCUAUAAGGGUGAGGGUGUACUUUAAAGGCUUGAACAGAAAACCUAUUGACUGUAUCUGGAUGUUUUUCUUUUAAGAAUGUUUAUAUGAAUGUAUGGAACCUUUUAUCUGUAAAAGAAAUGUUCAUAUGAAUUUAUGGAAUUCUAUGUUUUUUAAUAAAA